AGUCUCCUCCUCUGACCAUGGGGACAACAAACUUCGCUUGCAAGGCCUGGAAGAAGAUCAGAAGUUGGACAGGAGAGGUCCGGCCGCGCGGACGUCACCUUAGCGCGCCACUGUCGGCUCCGGUGGGCUCGGGUGAGCUCGGGUGAACGCAGCGAGCGAGGGCAGAGGCCAGCAGAGGCGAGGAGUGGAUGCUGCAGGGCCGCAGGCCGGGCAGAGAAACGCAUACCGGGUCGCUCCCUGCUUCGCCGCCGCCUCCUGGCAGGGCCAGCGAAGCCAGUGCUCCAGCGCCCCCGUAACACCUCAAAGCGCACGGAGUCCGUGUUGGGGAACUUGGCGGCAGAGUGACUGGGACCUAGGACCUGCGGUGGGGCCGCCGCCGCCUCCGCGGGGCCGAGCGCCUGGACCUCGCCCUGAGGUAAACGCGGGUCGACCCGGGGGGCGGAUGGGCUCGGGCUGUGUCGAGGGGAGGCGGAGGUGAGCGACCCGCGAAGAGCGCAGGAGCAGGCCGGGGGCCACGCUAGGGCGGACCCAAUUUCGGAAUAGCGCGGCCCGGGCGGCGGCGUGCGCUGGGAGGAAUGCUGGGUCUGUCGCUAGCGCCAAACUUGACCACGCUGCGACCUUUUCACUCUGUGCUCUGACCUUCAAAUCUCCCUCCCCCGAUUUUUUUUUUUUUUUUUUUUUUGAGACAGAGUUUCGCUUUUGUUGCCCAGGGCGGGAGUGCAGUGACAUGAUCUCGGCUCACUGCAACCUCCACCUCCUGGGUUCGGGCGAGUGUCCUGCCUCAGCCUCCCGAGUAGCUGGGAUUAUAGACCCCCGCCACCAUGCCCGGCUAAUUUUUUUUAUUUUAUUUAUUUAUUUAUUUAUUUAUUUAUUUAUUUUUGUAGUAGAGACAGGGUUUCACCAUGUUGGCCGGGUUGAUCUCGAACUCCUGUCCUCAAGUGAUCCGCCUGCCUCAGCCUCCCAAAGUGCUGGGAUUACAAGCGUGAGCCACCGCACCCGGCCUUCUCCCAAUUUUUAAAACUCGCUGGCUGGGCUGACAGCUACAGGGCCAGGAAUUCAAAACUUAGCCUCACCAGUCUCCCCUCCUCAGACCGAGGAGGUUGUUUUGUUUUGUUUGAGACAGAAUCUCACUCUGUCGCCCAGGCUGGAUUGCAAUGGUGCGAUCUCGGCUCACUGCAACCUCUGCCUCUCCGGUUCAAGCCAUUCUCCUGCUUCAGCCUCCCGAGUAGCUGGGAUUACAGGCGCCUGCCACCACACCCAGCUAAUUUUUGUAUUUUUAGUAGAGACGGGGUUUCAUCAUGUUGGCCAGGAUGGUCUCGAACUCUUGAUCUCAAGUGAUCCGCCCACCUCGGCCUCCCAAAGUGCUGGGAUUAUGGGUGUGAGCCACCAUGCCUGGCCAGACCUGGGGUUUGGACCCAUUAAAGAGCUUCCUUACAGAUGGCUGGCGGUCUUGCCACCAAUUGUUUCAAAAGUAGAUGUCUGGUUUAGAGUACUUAAGACAUUCACAGAUUCAAAUGUUGAAUUUUGAAAUAUCCCUGAUAUAUUUCUGUAUUGUAUUACCAAAAAAAAAAAAAAAAAAGAAGUUAGACAGGAGUUUGGAACCAGAGAACAGCCUGUUGGGGGAGUGGGGACUACAGCAGGGCUACCCAGGCCCCUCCUCCUCCCUGUCCCUUCGGCUCCCACCCUCUGCCAGGCUUACCUGUAAAUCGGGCCAUACUUCUGGAAAUUCUGGACAUGGUGAAGGUGGACUUUGUGUGUGCCCGUCUCCCUCCAGAAAUGGUACAGGUUUAGCCAGCCAUUGUCACCAGGAGAGGGGAUCUCAUUGAAGGGGCGAGGACUGCGGGUGGAGAUGCCAGCUCCCUCGCCAGUGGGCACCCUGAGACGCCCCAGCCCCUCCCUGGGGGCACUCAGAAAGGUCUGGCAGCCUUUGACCAGGACUGAGCGUGGGGGAAGACCCUUGGCCAGCAUGCUGUCCCCACAGCUGUGACUGUACCUGCUCCACUUCAGCGGGGACUGCUAGGAUGACUGUAGCCCUGGGCCACCAGGGCCAAGAUUAUAACUACCAGCUCAAGGCCAUACCAGAAGCUGAUAAAAUGUUCACGUCCUUCCUCCUGCUGCAGGCUCAAACCCGCAGACAGCUCCUCCCCUACUCGGUAUGAAGGUUCAGUCUGGAAUUUCUGCAGCGUGAGGUUCUCCAAAGGACAGGGAGACCCCUCUGUCUCUGCCCUCAGUGCCAGCCCUAGCAGACUCCUGAAAUAUCUGCCUGUGCUUUUGCCUGAGCUGGGGCCUCCCACUGGCCCCUGCAGCGGAGUCCAUGCCCUGGCAGCCAUUGGUCAAGACUGCAGACAACCUGUGUUUGGGGGAAAUGAGGGGCCCAAGAGAAGGUCAGAGCUAUCUUGCCAGCUUGGGCAACAUACGUCUUAGUUAUGGCCCCACUGUAUAGACACACAUCAUUGAACAACAGGGAUAAGUUCUGAGAAAUGCAUCCUUAGGCUAUUUUAUUUUAUUUUAUUUUAUUUUAUUUUAUUUUAUUUUAAGAGAGUUUCAUUCUUGUUGCCCAGGCUGGAGCGCAAUGGCACAGUUUCACCUUGGAACCCUAAUCCUCGUCGUCUCUCCCCAGUUGACCCAGAUUUGGGGCUGUAAUUCAGUACAGCUGACUCAGAGGGGCUCUGGGUCCCUUGAGCUGAGGUCUGUGGUCAGGCUCCACUCUGGACACACUCUAAGACCUUGGCAAAUCUGGUUGCCAUGGAACUCAGGAUGUCAGCUCUUCCCUGUCCACACACUUGAUCUGUGCUGCUUUCCCCUCAGAGCUGCUUCCAUACCCCCUCCCAUCAUAUCAUAUCCCCAGACCCAUCCUUCCAGCCCAGGUCAGCCCCCACACCCACCCCCCAUCACCCUGCACCUACCACUUUCCCAAACAACAAGGGUCAGUCACCUGUAGAGUUUUCAAGUCAUUUCAACAAAAUUACAGCCCACUUGGUAAAAAUGUGUAGGUCAGAAAACAUACAUGUGCCAUGUAGAGCAUUUCAUGACAGCAAUCUACACUAUACCUUAUACUUAUCAUUGGAAGGUACAACUUCUUGCUUUUUUUCCCCAAAAUCUUAUUUUCUGGCAAAUAAGGCAUUUAAAACACACAUCUAAGAGACAGAAAAUAGACUGGUGGUUGCUUAGAGCUAGGGGGAUAGAGGAAUUAGAGGAUGGGACAUAAAGUGUGUAGGGAUUCUUAGGAUGAUGAAAAUGAAAAUAUUCUAAAGUAUAUUGUGGUAAUUAUUGAACAACUCUCUGAUACACUAAAAGCCAUUGAAUUGCAUACUUUAAAUGGGUGAAUUGUAUGGUGUGUGAAUUAUAUCUCAAUAGAGCUGUUACCAAACACACACACACACACACACACACGAGUGACAUCCUCCUGGCCUCUUCUGUUGUAUGUGUCAGCCCAUAGAUCACCCACAAUGGCAAAAGUUGUCCUUACACAGCCACUUGACCCCAGACUCCAAUACUGUUGAACCACUUUCAACAAAUUUAGAGCAACAGUUUUUAGAAGAAAAAAAAAAAGUACUUAUCAAGAGUGGUUGUUGCUCUUCCCGCUGGAGUGACCACUACCUCAUCAGUCAUGAACCUUCUGAUAAAGAGAGUAUGGAGAAAGCCUGUUUUGCCUCACUGAUGACCUUGAGCCUGGAAUGACAUCAGCCAAGGAAGGCAGUGUCUCACGAGCAGCGGCAGGGUGAUGAGCUUCCACAAAGAAAAGCAGUCUUCCAAGGACUAGUUUUUCCUCCAAGGGUCUCAGCACUGAGGUGACAUUUAUAACUUUCUGACUUAAAGUCAAUCCCAUUGUUCUACGCAGCCCCACAUUCCUCCCUCAGAAGGAGCCCUAAUCGAUGUGGCAUGGAAGAACUUGUGGUCCUCUUGGCAGCCACCCCAACUUCCGUUCAGGCCUCCGCACCUCCCCCAGUGUUGUGGGGCACUGACCGCCUCCCCAGAAGUGGCCCGGGCUGGAGGUUAUUGCCUCAUCCUCUCCAAUGGCCAUGGUCACAUCACAGCAUAGGCCAGCGAUUCAGUUUGGGCCAAUGAAACACAGGGAAAGGUUUGCUGUGGCUUCUGGGAGAAUAGCUCCCUCACUUCUCUGAAAGAGCUUCCAGAAACACAUCACUCACUCCAAACAAGGCUGAAUGUAUUAGCUGUUUACUGCUGCUUAACAAAUUAUCCCAAAAUUUAGUGGCUUAAAACAAUAAAUGUUUAUUAUCUCACAGCUUCCGAGGGUGCAGCACCCAGGAGCAGCUUUUCUGGGUGACUGGGUGGCUGGGUGGCUGGGUGACUGGGUGGCUGGGUGGCUGAGUGGCUCAUGCUCAGGGUUUCUCACAAGCGGCUGCCAUCCCUGAAGCUUGACCAGGGUGUAGGAUCAGCUUCCAAGCUCAGUGGAUUAAACUGGCCCUGCUUCAAAACUUUUCAGUGGCUGUUUCAGGACUAUUGAGAAGAUUAAUGAAUGAUACAUACAUUUCAAAAUAUAUAUAUUACACAUAUACAUGUGUAUAUUACAUAAUUUUUCCCUCCCUCUCUCUGUUCUUGCCAGUGCCCAAACUGAAAUUUUCACCCUCUCAAAAGUGAUGGGAAGUUAGGGUCCAACCCUCACCAAGCCCCUUACGAUGGGCAAGUGAAUCCUCUGCUAGGUGAGGUUAGCCUAGUGCUCGGCUAUGCCAAAGUCCUUCUUGGCUCUCUCAAGACAGGCCCAUACUUAUAGUGCUUUCUCCUCCCACUCCUGCCUCCCACAUUCUGUAACUAUCCUAUCAUUCUCAGAGUAGAGGGUGUACACAUUUAGACCCAUCUAAACGUUGCCUAGGACGGGGAACAUGAUUUUAUUCAUUGCAGGCAGCUUGGAUGGAUAAACAGAAAAUCCAAAUCACAGACUUAAAGAAGAUAGAAGUGUAUUCUCUCUCCCAUAAAGGAUGUCCAAGGCUGGGCAGUCCAGGGUGAGUGUGUCAGUCCCAGCAAAAUGCCAGGCUCCAUCUUCCUGCUUCACCACGAAGACAUUUGGUUGGCAUUUCUAAGGCCACCCGAUGGUCCAAGCUGCUGCUGGAGCAUUAACCGUGUUGCUGGCCAGAAGGCGGAAGAACUCAAGAAGACCAAAAGGGGCCCUCCCUGAAGAGCCAGCUUCAUUUAAGCCCCUUCCUCAAAGUCCCACACGAGUCCAACCAUAUCUGAUUGGUGGGAACUUAACCACAUUGAGGCAGGAGAAUAGGGAAUUAGGGCAACCAAGGAUUAAGGUAGGAACAAAAGAAGAGCAGGUGCAGCCAGUUCACAUAAGCAAAAGGCACAGCAGGUACAGCCAAUUCUAGGCAGGAUUAGGCAACAUACAGGCCACAUCUUCACUUCUGUGAUAACCACAGGCCAAGUCGCCACUUAAGCCUCUAAUUGGUCACGGAUCAAUCCUUCAUUGGAUGUAACUGAUUGGAGGCCUCUGGAGGGCACCGGGGGUGUUCAUGUUCUUUAGCUUAAUAAAAUCUCUAAUUGAAGGGGCUCCUGAGCCACUUGCUCAAGCCCACUCUUGCUCUGUGAAUUGUACUUGCACAUCUUCAAUAAAUCUGUGCCUUCAUUACUCCA